rnacentral:rRNA from 1 species
UACGGAGGAUGCAAGCGUUAUCCGGAAUGAUUGGGCGUAAAGCGUCCGCAGGUGGCUGUGUAAGUCUGCUGUUAAAGAGUCUAGCUCAACUAGAUAAAAGCAGUGGAAACUACACGGCUAGAGUACGUUCGGGGCAGAGGGAAUUCCUGGUGUAGCGGUGAAAUGCGUAGAGAUCAGGAAGAACACCAGUGGCGAAGGCGCUCUGCUAGGCCGUAACUGACACUGAGGGACGAAAGCUAGGGGAGCGAACGGG